CUAGUUACUGCAUUUCAGGGAAACCAAAUACUGAUGAGGGAACUAUGAGAUUGCAGAGAACUUCCAGAUGUCCAGGGAUCCCUCCUGAAGAUCACAGAAGCUGGGGGCACAGGGAUCUGCUCAGGCCAGCAGGAACCAAGGCCCAAGCCUGGGGUUCCUGAUGAGAUUUUGACUGAUCCCAAAAUAUCUUAACUUGGUCUCCUUCCAUUUAUCUUCAGGCUGUUGGUAUGCAUUUUUAAGGAAGCCAAUACCAAACUUCUCUAAAAGUUAAAUUACUGAAAAUAGAGUUAAUGCAAAAAUAAUCGAAUUGAGAUUGUACUUUUGCUUGGUAAUAAAAAUGGCUUUAGCUUUUUAUUAAAUAAAAUUAAAGCAACGUGAGUUAAAAUAA